UCAUGGAUACAGUGUUAGGCYGUACCCAUUGUCCUGUUUCCGUAGUGUAGUGGUUAUCACGUUCGCCUCACACGCGAAAGGUCCCCGGUUCGAAACCGGGCGGAAACAGACCGCUUGUUUUCUUCCCACCCUACGCUCCUCCACCGAGAUUUGUUUUCUGAUUGGCAAAACCAAAAGGUUCCAAAGGCUCGGGGUGAAGCAGAGGACGCAGCUGUAGGAGGAGUUGGUGACCACCUGGAAGUCUACUCAGCACUAGGAAGCAGCCCUCCUUUCUCUGCUCCGAGUCCCUGUCCGGAUACCCCCUCGGCUCCCUGUCAGGCCCCUGGGUCUCUUCCACGUGUUCACAGAUUGUCUCUGAAAACCAUGGAGUUGAUCCCCGAGACGCUCACUCGCUUUCCCCCACCUCGGAACACCAGAGGAGCAGUUUUAUCUCCCUGGUAGAAGAAAAGAGACCGCACCAAGGUCUCACCGUGGGCUCCAGCCAAAGACACGGAAGUGAAGAAUUUAAGGCUCCACGAACUGAGCCGGUCGCGGAGGGAAAGGAACCGGUACCCGUGCGGUCGUCAGGAGAGGCCCCGGAGCCAGGUCAGAGAUCUGGAGGUAGACGGAUCCGCUCAUCACUCGCUGAAAGCCAAGUCGGCGCCUGACUCGAGGGAAAACCCGAGGUUCACAAAGAGAGCAUGACCUGGGCUCGGCAGCACACAGCGCUAGAGCUGGACCAGGAGGGAGCCAACCGGAUACUUUGUGACCUGGUCUCAGAACGAGAAGCGUCGCCCAGGAACGGGGAUUUGAAGGGCUGGGAGCCUUGCACAGCUGCAUACAGCCAUGCGGGCGCUGGGACAUUUCCUUUCCUGUUCUCCGCAUCUCUGGGUCCAAUGCAGAAGAGCGUCUGCACUGAGUCCCGGCCUCAGGGUCCUUGACAUCAGGCAAGCUGGAGGAGACUCCCCGGAUGCAGUGAACAGCCUGGGCUGCCCAGCUCUCCUCUCCACUCUUUUCUCUUUGCUUGUUAGAAACCCAGAGUCUUCCUUACAGAGUUUUCAUCCAAAGAGAAUCAGGGACUCGAGUUCCAAAGAUUCAUUCAAAACCAAACCCCAAACCCUCCAAAACAUACAUCCAAGUUACAAGAAUAGUAACAUCGUGUAUUCUGUACUCAGCUGCACAGUUCACAUUUUCCCACGUUUGCUUUGUCACUCUCUCCAUGGAAACCUGAAAUCCAUUCUCUUUAGGAUGCAGAGAAGCUUCCGGGGGAGUUUGGUUUGGAUCUCCAGGAAGUGCAGGCCAGGCACGCUCUGCGCUUGUAGGAUUACCCCACCACCCCACCCCACCCACCCCCACCCACCCCCCGGGACCGUCUGCUAUCUGGACUCCUCGGGGUCGUCUUGGUGGACAGUGGGGUCUUGGGUCAGCCUGAGCGCUAGAACCACCUACCUUGGGAAGACCCAUGGGGGAAGUGCAGCUGCCCCUUUGGCUCUUGCCUGGCUCUCUGUGCCCAGAAUACAAAGGGGAAGGCUUCUUUCCUCUGGUGGGAGGAUGAGUGGACCAGGUGGGAGAUGCAUCAAAGGGAGGGGGAGUAUUCUCGAGAGCUUUCCGGAAUUGUCUGCUUGGGUGGCUGUCCUAGGAUAA
ensembl:lncRNA